rnacentral:tmRNA from 1 species
GGGGAUGUAAAGGUUUCGACGGGGGACGAAAGCCCUGGUAAGCGAGCAGCGGGGCGGACCGCUUUAAAACCGCACGUUUAAAAUUAAACGACAAAACUUCUAACAAAACCACCAAUAUUAACUUUAAUAUGGCGGUUGCUGCCUAACUAAAAGGCAGUCGUCUUCCCCGGGAGUACCGCGGCCCGGGGUUAGGCGUAACCUAGCGGUGAACGUGAACAGGGCGACGCCUUUAACCCUGUCAUGACGAAAAGGCUACCAAGACCUGAAGCCUGCUUUUGGGCGCCGGGUUAAGGGAAUGUUAAACCAAAAGCUACGCUCGUAGAAAGCCUUGGUAAUCAUCUUUCGGACGCGGGUUCGAUUCCCGCCAUCUCCACCA